CUGUUCCUUGAGCAGGGUUAUCCUGUGACAACACCAGAAGAUUGAUAUAUGGGUUUCUGCUUACACUAAACCUGAUCAAGUGAUAGAAUCUGUCAGUUUUGAUACGUUGCUUAAAGAAGCGGAGGUGUUGAAGAAAGCUGCCGAGGAUGCAGGAGAAAACGUUACAGCUACUACAGCUGAGGGAACUGAUUCAGAAACUGAGACCAGUGACACAGAUGUUGAAAUGAAGGAAGAAGUAACAGAUUCACAGGCUAAGAAGAAAUAUCCUAGAAAACCACAUUACCGUCAUGCUGAUAGAUUUAUUUUAAAAGCUGCCCAGGCACGACUAGACGAAUUCAUAAAAGUUAAAAUGCUAAAAGAUCUACUGUUUGGACCUGCUUUCCCUCAUCAUAUCACACGCCAAAUUAACGGCUUACUGUAUAACCUCCCCGUUCCAGUUCGCUUUAUAAAUCAUUCCACUAGAAAUCAGAUGUACACCAUUGUAACGCAAAGUAUGUCACCGAUCAAAAUUGUCGCAUUUCUCAAAGCCAACGGUGGACAGUCUGGUCGCUUUCGUUUAGUCGACAAAUCAGAACUUCCGACACAUAAGGACAUUUUACCAGAACUUAAAAGUAGGGAAAUUUUAACUAAGAUCAAAUCCAAAUUUUAGUAGAAAUUUCAAUUUUGAUUGGCUAAGCACUAAAACCAAUCAAAUUGUUGGCUUUUUUUUGCUAAUAAAUAUAAGUGCUAGUCUAA